GCCAGAGUGGUAUAGUGGUUUGAAUACUGGACUACAACUCUGGAGACCAGGGUUCGAAUCCCUGCUGAGCCA